rnacentral:rRNA from 1 species
CCAGCAACUUGGAGGAAUGUAUAGCGAAAGCUAGUUGCAUUAACUAACCGUUAAUGCAGCAGCGACUAUGUCGUGUAAAGUUCAGGGUAGAGUUAUGAUAAUGACAUUUUCUAUCUGUGUGUCUCGACCAAACUACGUGCCAGCAGUCGCGGUAAUACGUUGGAGACUAGUGUUAGUCGUCUUUAGUAGGUUUAAAGGGUACCUAGACGGUCAUUACAGCCCCCAAAGGGUACUGUUUGAACUAGAGUUUUAUGAGAGGGGGGGUGUACUAAUGGUGUAGAGAUGAAAUUCAGUCAUACCAUUACGAACAGGCAACAGCGAAGGCAACCCUUUAUGUGUAAACUGACGUUGAAGGACGAAGGCUUAGUCAACCAACAGGAUUAGAUACCCUAGCAGUCUGAGCAGACAAUGAUGAAUGCCAUAGACUGGAAUAAUAAAUUAUAAUUUCCAUAUAAUUAUAUAUGGGAAAAAAACAUUUUGUUUUUUGGUUAUAAAAUUUUGUCUAUAAAUGAAAGUGUAAGCAUUCCACCUCAAGAGUAACGCGGCAACGCGGAAACUGAAAUCAUUAGACCGUUUCUGAAACCAGUAGUGAAGUAUGUUGUUUAAUUUGAUAAUCCGCGGUACACCUUACCACAAUUUGUAUGUUUAGUAAUAAAUACAAGAGUUGCACGGCUGUCUUCAGUUAAUGUCGUGAGAUUUUGGUUAGUUCCAUUAAAUUAACGUAAACCCUUACUUUAUUUUAGUAAAUAGAGUAGUUCACCGCUAUAUUGGAUAUGAUAAAAGGGACUAAGACAAGUC